rnacentral:tRNA from 1 species
GACCGCGUAGCUCAGUUGGCAGAGCAUUGGACUAGUAUUCCAAACGUCGUAGGUUCGAUUCCCACCGUGGUCA